ensembl:lncRNA
CUGAUUUCAUUCAGACACUCUGUGUGUUUAACAUCUGCCCGUGGGCCUGAACCUCUCAGCACCCACUGCAGUCUGUCUGUCAGCCAUUACGACACUACCACAGUCGCACAGAAAGCACCCCACCAACCACUCACCCCCUGCAACUGCUCAGCUAUGACAGAGACAGGGCAGUAAACUGAGGAAAUGACGAGUUCAGAAGAAGACGUUUCCUCCAAUGUUCCUUGCAAGGCUCUCUGUUACCAUGACCACAAAGAAGCUCUACUAAUUAGUGACGGUCAAGGAGAGAGGCUAUAAGUGUUGUACUCAAGAUACGCAGUGACAAGAUGCUUCCUGCCACUGCGACUAUGAUGAUGGUGAUAUUCA